UACGAACCGUGCUAACGUUAUUCGGAAUCACUGGGCAUAAAGGGCGCGUAGGCGGCUUUCUAAGUCAGGGGUGAAAUCCGGCAGCUCAACUGUCGCAGUGCCUUUGAUACUGGAGAGCUCGAGGGAGGUAGGGGUCUGUGGAACUUCCGGUGGAGCGGUGAAAUGCGUUGAUAUCGGAAGGAACGCCGGUGGCGAAAGCGACGGACUGGAUCUCUUCUGACGCUGAGGCGCGAAAGCCAGGGGAGCAAACGGG
rnacentral:rRNA from 1 species